ensembl:lncRNA FAM86JP family with sequence similarity 86 member J, pseudogene
GCCCACGUCAUGGCGCCCGAGGAGAACGCUGGGACCUAACUCUUGCUGCAGAGUUUGCAGCGCCGCUUUCUGGCGGCGCGCGCGCUGCGCUCCUUCCCCUGGCAGGUGCACCCUGUGACAUCUGAAGGUCAGGCUUUCAGCUGCUGUGGCUUCCACUUCCAACUGGCUCCACGUCCCCAGGGAGAGAUCACACAGCGCUUUGCCAACACAUUCUAUUGCGUGUUUAAUGUUCCUGUGAAUGCGCCCUUGAGAUUUCUCUCUCUCCCGUCCACACAGAGCUUAGAAGCAAAAUUAACAGACUCAUCAGAUUCUGAGCUUCUGCGGGAUAUUUUGCAGAAGACUGUGAAGCAUCCUGUGUGUGUGACGCACCCGCCGUCAGUCAAGUAUGCCCGGUGCUUUCUCUCAGAACUCAUCAAAAAGGACUGUCCUAGAGCUUGGCAGUGGUGCUGGCCUCACAGCCCUGGCCAUCUGCAAGAUGUGCCGCCCCCGGGCAUACAUCUUCAGCGACUGUCACAGCCGGGUCCUCAAACAGCUCCGAGGGAAUGUCCUUCUCAAUGGCCUCUCAUUAGAGGCAGACAUCACUGCCAACUUAGCCCCAGAGUGACAGUGGCCCAGCUGGACUGGGACAUCGCGAUGGUCCAUCAGCUCUCUGCCAUCCAGCCAGAUGUUGUCAUUGCAGCAGACGUGCUGUAUUGCCCAGAAGCCAUCGUGUUGCUGGUCGGGGUCCUGCUGAGGCUGGCUGCCUGCCGGGAGCACCAGCGGGCUCCUGAGGUCUAUGUGGCCUUUACUGUCCGCAACCCAGAGACAUGCCAGCUGUUCACCACCGAGCUAGGCCAGGCCAGGAUCAGAUGGGAAGUGGAACCUCGUCAUGACCAGAAACUGUUUCCCUAUGAAGAGCACUUGGAGAUGGCAAUGCUGAACCUCACACUGUAGGACUCACACACGACUCCAAUGGGAUUGUGAGAAUCAAGUCACUCUCAAGGGAAGAGGUUUCAUAUGGGAAAGCUGAUAAAACUUUCACUGGACUGGAAUGUUUGGAGAAUGUUAAUUUCCAAAUCAGGAACUACAAACUGCCCUCUAAUAAGACAUCGGCUAUCUAAGCGUGUGGGUGCUCCCUUUCUGCCAGCAGUUCUGGUUCUUAAGGAAAUCGCCAUCACUCAGACAUGAAAACUCUGGCUCCAAAAAUAGCAUUUUCUUUGUGCAAAUAAAAACGUGUGUAUCAAGUAUGUGGACACACUCGGUUCCUCACAAAGCCAAGCCUGCUGCAGCUGCCACAUCCCUGGACACACUUGGUUCCUCACAAAGCCAAGACUGCUGCAGCUGCCACAUCCGCGGACACACUCAGUUCUUCACAAAGCCAAGCCCGCUGCAGCUGCCACAUCCCUGGGCUUACGAUGCAGCAGGUGCUUUUUUCAAGACAGGAAUCAAAAUGUUAGGAACACGGCAGAAAGGUGACACCUGGAGACCAAACGCAGGAUAAGGAGUACUGCAGAGGUCACAGGGAAGUCACAGAACAGUAAUACGCUAGCAGGGGCAUGGGGCAUGAAGAACAGAAGAAGAGAGGAAGUGUUUCCGAGCCUCCGGAAAAGAAAUCAGAGCCAAGCACAGCUUCCCGGGUCACAGAACCAAUUCAUUCACCAGGCGGCACCACUGCCGUCAUUUCAGCUUCUGGCCACUGGGAGGCGCUGCUCAAAAGGGUUUGCCCUGAGACUCCGAGAAGAAGCUGCGGGAAGGACAGCAGGGGUCCCGGGGUUUUAGCCUCUGGCCCAGGAGUUGUAUGUCCAUAACCAAAGGGAGCACAGUCUGCACCCAGCUCUCAUCCCAUCGGAGCUGCUGCGACUCCCGCAGGUUCUUCCAAAACUGGUUUAGCUUGCCUGCAGGAUCAGGAAAGUUUGAGAAAAGCAUCUGCAAAAAAAUAAAGAGCAGAGCUUACCUCAUUGCCUGUCCCCACCCCAUCCCAGGUCACCACCUGGCUGACCCCAGGUCCCCGACCCAACAACAACCCCUCCCAAGUUCCUAACUCUCUCACUUGGACUCGAGACUCUUCACGCCCCAGCAGCGCUCCGCCUCCAACUUGACAUCAUGCUUUCUGGAAACUUCCCCGUAUGUCCCACUUUCCCACACUUGGUGCCCUGGAGCACCUCCCGGCCUCUAACGUGCUGUAUGUUCCCCUGCGAGCACCCUCCUCUUGGCCUCUGGCCAAGUCCCACCCAUCUGUGGGUAACAAGGGGGUGUCGGUGUUCUUUUCAGCCUUGCUAAACUCUCUGAAUCAAGGAUCACAAACUACAGCCUGCAGGCCAAAUCCAGCCCACAGCCUGUGUUUGUAAAUAAAGUUUUAUUGGAACAAAGCCA